GAAGAGGUGUAUUUAUUAGAAUGAAAACCAAUAGUCUUUGUCUGUUUGAGAGUAAUAAUAACUUGUCAUAUCGCAUGCUUUUGUAGAGAUGUGUCUUUAAAGUUUCCCCCCUAUCAGCUUUAGAUGGUAGUGUAGUGGACUCCCAUGACAGUCGCGGGUAGAGAAGAAUUGGGGUUAGAUUUCGGAGAGGGAGCGUGAGAGAUGGCUCCCACAUCCAAGGAAGGCAGCAGGCGUGUAAAUUCCCCAAUCCUGACACAGGGAGGUAGUGACAAUAAAUCACAAUGGGGGAAUUCAGUUCGCAAUUGGAUUGAGAA
rnacentral:rRNA from 1 species